rnacentral:rRNA from 1 species
UACGGAGAGUGCAAACGUUGUUCGGAUUCACUGGGCGUAAAGCGCGCGUAGGCGGCUUUGCAAGUCGGGUGUGAAAUCCCCAGGCUUAACCUGGGAACUGCAUUCGAGACUGCAUUGCUAGAGUAUGGGAGAGGGAAGUGGAAUUUCCGGUGUAGCGGUGAAAUGCGUAGAUAUCGGAAGGAACAUCAGUGGCGAAAGCGACUUCCGGGACCAAUACUGACGCUCAUGUGCGAAAGAGUGGGGAGCAAACAGG